AAGACCUUGCGCUUUUGGAGCGGCCGAUGCCUGAUUAGCUUGUUGGUAAGGUAAAAGCUUACCAAGGCUUCGAUCAGUAGCUGGUCUGAGAGGACGACCAGCCGCACUGGGACUGAGACACGGCCCAGACUCCUACGGGAGGCAGCAGUGGGGAAUUUUGGACAAUGGGGGCAACCCUGAUCCAGCCAUGCCGCGUGAGUGAAGAAGGCCUUCGGGUUGUAAAGCUCUUUCAGCCGGAACGAAACGGUUACGGUUAACACCCGUGACUACUGACGGUACCGGAAGAAGAAGCACCGGCUAACUACGUGCCAGCAGCCGCGGUAAUACGUAGGGUGCGAGCGUUAAUCGGAAUUACUGGGCGUAAAGCGUGCGCAGGUGGUUUUGUAAGUCAGAUGUGAAAGCCCCGGGCUCAACCUGGGAACU
rnacentral:rRNA from 1 species